ANUGGGCGAAAGCCUGAUCCAGCCAUGCCGCGUGUGUGAAGAAGGCCUUUUGGUUGUAAAGCACUUUAAGCGGGGAGGAGGGCACCGUGGUUAAUACCCACGAAUGUCGGACGUUACCCGCAGAAUAAGCACCGGCUAACUCUGUGCCAGCAGCCGCGGUAAUACAGAGGGUGCGAGCGUUAAUCGGAAUUACUGGGCGUAAAGCGCGCGUAGGCGGCUUGUUAAGUCGGAUGUGAAAUCCCUGGGCUCAACCUAGGCAUUGCAUUCGAUACUGGCAAGCUAGAGUAUGGGAGAGGAAGGUAGAAUUCCAGGUGUAGCGGUGAAAUGCGUAGAGAUCUGGAGGAAUACCGAUGGCGAAGGCAGCCUUCUGGCCUAAUACUGACGCUGAGGUGCGAAAGCAUGGGGAGCAAACAGGAUUAGAUACCCUGGUAGUCCAUGCCGUAAACGAUGUCAACUAGCCGUUGGGCCCCUUGAGGGCUUAGUGGCGCAGCUAACGCGAUAAGUUGACCGCCUGGGGAGUACGGUCGCAAGACUAAAACUCAAAGAAAUUGACGGA
rnacentral:rRNA from 1 species